rnacentral:rRNA from 1 species
UACGGGGGGAGCAAGCGUUGUUCGGAUUUACUGGGCGUAAAGGGCGCGUAGGCGGUCAGCACAAGUCAGUUGUGAAAUCUCCGGGCUUAACCCGGAAAGGUCAACUGAUACUGUGCGACUAGAGUGCGGAAGGGGCAACUGGAAUUCUCGGUGUAGAGGUGAAAUGCGUAGAUAUCGAGAGGAACACCUGCGGCGAAGGCGGGUUGCUGGGCCGACACUGACGCUGAUGCGCGAAAGCCAGGGGAGCGAACGGG